rnacentral:tRNA from 1 species
GCCGGAAUAGCUCAGUUGGUAGAGCAGCGCAUUCGUAAUGCGAAGGUCGGAGGUUCGAUUCCUCUUUCCGGCACCA